UACGUAGGGUGCGAGCGUUGUCCGGAAUUAUUGGGCGUAAAGGGCGCGUAGGCGGCGAUUCAAGUGACGGGUGAAAUCCCUCGGCUUAACCGAGGAACUGCCUGUCAGACUGGGUUGCUUGAGACCGGGAGAGGCGAGUGGAAUUCCCAGUGUAGCGGUGAAAUGCGUAGAUAUUGGGAGGAACACCAGUGGCGAAGGCGGCUCACUGGACUGGUACUGACGCUGAGGCGCGAAAGCGUGGGGAGCAAACAGG
rnacentral:rRNA from 1 species